rnacentral:rRNA from 1 species
CCUACGGGAGGCAGCAGUGAGGAAUAUUGGUCAAUGGACGAGAGUCUGAACCAGCCAAGUAGCGUGAAGGAUGACUGCCCUAUGGGUUGUAAACUUCUUUUAUAUGGGAAUAAAACGUUCCACGUGUGGGAUUUUGUAUGUACCAUAUGCAUAAGGAUCGGCUAACUCCGUGCCAGCAGCCGCGGUAAUACGGAGGAUCCGAGCGUUAUCCGGAUUUAUUGGGUUUAAAGGGAGCGUAGGUGGGUUGUUAAGUCAGUUGUGAAAGUUUGCGGCUCAACCGUAAAAUUGCAGUUGAAACUGGCAGUCUUGAGUACAGUAGAGGUGGGCGGAAUUCGUGGUGUAGCGGUGAAAUGCUUAGAUAUCACGAAGAACUCCGAUUGCGAAGGCAGUUCACUGGACUGCAACUGACACUGAGGCUCGAAAGUGUGGGUAUCAAACAGGAUUAGAUACCCUGGUAGUC